CGGCAAUAGCUCAAAUUUGAAAGCUGGCCCCUUCGGGGUCCGCGUUGUAAUUUGUAGAGGAUGAUUCGGCGAGGGCUCCCGUCUAAGUCCCUUGGAACAGGGCGUCAUAGAGGGUGAGAAUCCCGUAUGUGAUGGGCUGCCUUAGCCAUGUGAAUCUCCUUCGAC
rnacentral:rRNA from 1 species